rnacentral:rRNA from 1 species
GCCACGGGCCAUGCCACCUUGAACAAGCCCGAUGUCUGAUCUCAGAAGCUAAGCAGGGCCAGGCCUUGUUAGUACUUGGAUGGGAGACCACCUAGGAAGACCAAGUGCUGUAGGCA